ACCGGAGCACCCGGAGGAAACCCACGCGGACACGGGGAGAACAUGCAAACUCCACACAGAAAGGCCCUCGCCGGCCCCGGGGCUCGAACCCGGACCUUCUUGCUGUGAGGCGACAGGGCUAACCACUACACCACCGUGCCGCCCUAAUUGUAUUGUUUAGUUUUGUAUUAUUUGUUUUGAUAGCUUGUUCAUAUUGUGUAUGUUUAUACAGCUGUUGCUGGUAAAAUGUUAAUCUGCAAAAUGUAUAAAAUUGCCGCUGAUGGUUGGGGGAGAUAACAAGGCAUGAUUUUGUAUUAUGAUCAGAGUGAUGAAUGUCUCAUCUCAUCUCAUCUCAUUAUCUCUAGCUGCUUUAUCCUUCUACAGGGUCGCAGGCAAGCCGGAGCCCAUCCCAGCUGACUACGGGCGAAAGGCGGGGUACACCCUGGACAAGUCGCCAGUAUCUGAUGUGACCCCCUUGUGCAGCAAGAACUGCAACUAAACGUUUGCGGUAACUGUUGAUCAGUCCUGCACAUCGGCUUGGAGGAAUUUUAGCCCAUUCCUCCGUACAGAACAGCUUCAACUCUGGGAUGUUGGUGGGUUUCCUCACAUGAACUGCUCACAACAUUUCAAGUGGAUUAAGGUCAGGACUUUGACUUGGCCAUUCCAAAACAUUAACUUUAUUCUUCUUUAACCAUUCUUUGGUAGAAUGACUUGUGUGCUUAGGGUCGUUGUCUUGCUGCAAGACCCACCUUCUCUUGAGAUUCAGUUCAUGGACAGAUGGUUUUCCUUUAGAAUUUGCUGGUAUAAUUCAGAAUUCAUUGUUCCAUCAAUGAUGGCAAGCCGUCCUGGCCCAGAUGCAGCAAAACAGGCCCAAACCAUGAUACUACCAUGAUUUCAGUAAUGUAUUUUGAACAGUUAAGUGGUGAAUUAUACCAUGGUUUUUGUACUUCAUGUAUACAGAUGGAAUAAGGGACUUUUAAAGAGGAGGAGGAGAAGGAAAAAAGUGAAAGGAAAGUAUGUAUCUUAUGCAAUGGGAAAUAUUCCAUGUGUUUGUGUUUACAUUGAAAGUGAACUUGAUUCUGUUAAGACUUUGAAUACACAUUGAACACUGAUUCAAAAGAAAGCAAUGACACGCACUUGCUGAAAAGAAUGUUUAAUAAAUUACUGUAGAGAACUGGGAAAGCA